rnacentral:rRNA from 1 species
CUGCUGCCUCCCGUAGGAGUUUGGGCCGUGUCUCAGUCCCAAUGUGGCCGGUCGCCCUCUCAGGCCGGCUACUGAUCGUCGCCUUGGUGAGCCGUUACCCCACCAACAAGCUAAUCAGACGCGGGUCCAUCCUAUACCACCUCAGUUUUUCACACCGAACCAUGCGGUCCUGUGCGCUUAUGCGGUAUUAGCAGUCAUUUCUAACUGUUAUCCCCCUGUAUAGGGCAGGUUACCCACGCGUUACUCACCCGUCCGCCACU